rnacentral:rRNA from 1 species
UCCGGAGGGUGCAAGCGUUAUCCGGAUUCACUGGGCUUAAGGGGCGCGUAGGUGGGUUGGUAAGUCAGUGGUGAAAUCCCCGAGCUUAACUUGGGAACUGCCAUUGAUACUAUCAGUCUUGAAUACUGUGGAGGUUAGCGGAAUAUGUCAUGUAGCGGUGAAAUGCUUAGAUAUGACAUAGAACACCAAUUGCGAAGGCAGCUCGCUACACAUAUAUUGACUCUGAGGCACGAAAGCGUGGGGAGCAAACAGG